CAAGUUCAGCGGUGACAUUCUUCUGCAGGACUUCUCCGCGCAUCUCUUAGAAGGAGACGGUAGGAUUCGCCCAUUUUUAACCGUAGCAUCCUGUGUUUUUCAGAUUACCUCCUGGGACUUUUCAAAAAUGCCUCAUCCCAAGGAACGCCCCAAGGGUCUAGAACUGCCCAUCCCAGGUCAACUGGGAAGAAGGAAAGACAAGAAAAGAACGUACAACCUGCAAAUAAUAGUAAGGGAGUAAGUGGAAAUAUGAAAUAAAUACUGAUGCGCCUGCCCCAUCUGGUCACACAGUGCUUUGAAGAAAGGCCCUUCCUUUGGGGAAAAUGACAAGAAUUCGGCCUUCAUCAUCAAUGCUGGAGAAUAAGACAGACCUGUUCACUUCCCCUUCGGCAUGUGACGUUUGGAACACAGAUUUACGUGAGGAGCAGGAAAAGAUCAUCUCGGGCUCCUGCUGCUGCUGUCCAGCCUCCCUGGCUCUGUGCGAAGAGUGUCCUCCCAAGGCACCUGGACGUCCCACCUUUGAGAGAGAUUUGCACACACCGUGACCCACGAGCAGGUCCUUGGGGCCAGAAGGAGCCUCCACUGUCAGCACAAGAGCAUCACCGCCAAGUCAGACAGCUUCUUGGAAAAUAAAAAGUGAAGUCACAGAACAAAACAAAAACUCUCUCUUCAAACUGCUGUCUCUCCCUGCCGUGUGAGGACAACAGUGGAAAAGCAGCCAUCUGCAAGCCAAGAAGAAAGCUCCAACCAGAACCCAGGCAUGCUGGCACCCACAUCGCAGAUGUUUAUCUUCCAGAACUGUAAGAAAAUAACAUAUCUGUUGUUUAAGCCACCUAGUCUAUGGUAUUUUGUUCUGGCAGCCAGAGCUAGCUAGGACAGGACUAAGUGGUCCUCUGAGCCAACCUUCUUAUUUUACACAGAUCCAAAGGGACACAGAGCAGACCAGGAUCAAAACCCAGCCCAUUCUCUAACCCACAGCCCACAGCUCUAGCCAGUGAAACAAGCUUGCCAAAUAGUGCAGAAUGAAAGAACAGGCCGAAAGCAAAAAGUAUGUUUUUCUUAAACAUGUCGAUACCUUUAAACUCUUUUUUAGACUAGCUUUGAAAUAACAUUUAACUGAAGGUCCAAGGGGACCUCCAGAAAGGCAUGAAGUUGAGAAUUUGGCUUACAAGGCUUCCAAAGAUGAGAAAGGGAGAGGCCUACCUUUUGGUUAUAAUGAAAUUGUAAUUACAGCCUUGUGAGUUAUGCAAAGGAGAGCAGACAGCAGGAUUCACAACCCCAUGAAAUUUCUUGUAUCUGUAUGCAAAACUGAAUGAACUAAAACAUGUCAGAUCUUCUCUUUAAAAUCCUCUGUUGCAAGCACUACGUUACAUGAGAAUGGUGUUUUACACCUCACAGUGUGCUUCUACAUAACAUAGUCUCAGGGAAUCCAUGCAACAGCCAGCAGAGGAAUUUAGCAUCCAUAAGUGAUCAAGCAAAGUCACACAGCUGCUAAGAGUUAGAACUGACACUUGAAUACUGUGUGUGCAUGUGAGAGAGAGAGAGAAUGACUUGGGGUGGGGUUGAUCCCACUUCACUAUAUGCUCUAGAGCUGCACUCCAAGAAGUGUCGUAAACAUUCGCCAUUAACAAAAAGACUAAACUACCAGUAAAAGGCCCGAGUUUUAGCUCUGCCAUCAAUUCAUGGUCAGCUUGGGCCAGUCACUUAGCCUCUAGUUCUCUGUUUCUUCGACUAUAAAAAAAGUGUGUUAAAUAGUUUUGUCUUUGAUUCUCUUUCCAUUCAAUCUUUCAGCAGUGUGCCUUUCUCCAGAGGUGGCCAUUUUGGGAAAAUCUGGCCACACCUGUCAGUCAGUUGCUGAGAAGCCCCAGGGUAAACAACAAUCCAGGUGGGAUCACAGACCUGCCCCUCAGUAAAGAGGCUACCUAAAGACCCCUCGGGCACACAGCUGCCUCUAAUUCCAGCCAGAGACUAAGCCCCACCCACCAGAGGGAUUAGAAUCAGCUCCACCUACCCAGUGGGCAAGCAUCAGCCCCUCCCAUCAGGAAGCCUACAGCAAGCCCCCAUACCAACUUCAGCCACAAGGGGCUUCAGCCACACCAGAAGUAAGAGAGGCUACAAUUCUACUAUCUGUAAAAAGGUCACCACACCAAAAAACCUAUAAAAAUGAAAAGACAGAGAACUAUAACUCAGAUGAGGGAGAAAGAAAAAACCCCAGAAAAUCAGCUAAGUGAUGAGGAGAUUCUCAGCCACCAGGAAAAAGAUUUUAGAUUGUUGAUGCUAAAGAUGAUGCAAAACAUUGGAAACAAACUGGAGGCAAAGAUGGAUAACUUACAGGAAACACUAGCAAAGAGAUACAAGAUAUCAAACUGAAACAAGAAGAGAUGCAAAAUACAAUAACUGAAACAAAAAAUUCACUAGAAGCAACCAACAGCAGAAUACAGGACGCGGAAGAAUGAAUAAGCGAGGUGGCGGACAGAUUAGUGGAAAUUAUGGAUGCAG
rnacentral:lncRNA from 1 species